CAAAAAAAAAAAGCCAAAUGCCAAAACCCAAGAGUCGGAGACGUCGAUUGUGUAACGUAGUCCACCACCAUCAAAGCUAUUAAAAGCUUCAACUCAUCCAUACUCUUCAUCUCUCCCCCGAAUCCAAAUCUCCUCUGGUAGCUUCCAUGGAUGAGAAACAGUCAGAUUUCCAGAUCCAAAGCUUUGAAUAAAUCUAGCACCAAAGCUCCGACAAUAUCAACCAGCGCAUCAAUGUCUAAGAAUCCAGGAAAAUCACCACUAAAGCUCCAACUGAAUCGACCACCAGUUCCAUGGAUAAGAAAAAAGGGUUGCUUGACUCGAUCUACAGCUUUGAAUCCUGCAAAAAGAAAGAUCCUCAUAGGGUUUGAUCUGUUAUUUAUGGCAAAGAGGUCUAUCCGUUCUUCAAGAACAUAGUUUAGCGAUUGAGUUCAAUUGGUUCUGGUUCCAUUCAUGCGAAGAGUUUGAAGCAAUCUCUAUGGUAAGGUUUAGGUUUUGUUGUCGAAUACAGUUAAAUUAUUUAAAUUAUUUUGCUUUUUUGUUGUUGUUGGUAUUUUAUCGGGAUGCAGAUAAAGAUCCAGAGUAUGGUAACCAAGCUGAGAUCAAAGCGCAAAGGAUGACUGCAUUUUAUGUUGAGACCAGCUUACUGAAGCGAGUGUUAGGGUAUUGCAACACAUCGCUUCAGCUCCAG